GUGAUCUAGCCAUGGGCAGGUUGAAGGUUGGGUAACACUAACUGGAGGACCGAACCGACUAAUGUUGAAAAAUUAGCGGAUGACCUGUGGCUGGGGGUGAAAGGCCAAUCAAACCGGGAGAUAGCUGGUUCUCCCCGAAAGCUAUUUAGGUAGCGCCUCGUGAAUUCAUCUCCGGGGGUAGAGCACUGUUUCGGCUAGGGGGCCAUCCCGGCUUACCAACCCGAUGCAAACUGCGAAUACCGGAGAAUGUUAUCACGGGAGACACACGGCGGGUGCUAACGUCCGUCGUGAAGAGGGAAACAACCCAGACCGCCAGCUAAGGUCCCAAAGUCAUGGUUAAGUGGGAAACGAUGUGGGAAGGCCCAGACAGCCAGGAUGUUGGCUUAGAAGCAGCCAUCAUUUAAAGAAAGCGUAAUAGCUCACUGGUCGAGUCGGCCUGCGCGGAAGAUGUAACGGGGCUAAACCAUGCACCGAAGCUGCGGCAGCGACACUGUGUGUUGUUGGGUAGGGGAGCGUUCUGUAAGCCUGUGAAGGUGUGUCGUGAGGCAUGCUGGAGGUAUCAGAAGUGCGAAUGCUGACAUAAGUAACGAUAAAGCGGGUGAAAAGCCCGCUCGCCGGAAGACCAAGGGUUCCUGUCCAACGUUAAUCGGGGCAGGGUGAGUCGACCCCUAAGGCGAGGCCGAAAGGCGUAGUCGAUGGGAAACGGGUUAAUAUUCCCGUACUUGGUGUUACUGCGAAGGGGGGACGGAGAAGGCUAUGUUGGCCGGGCGACGGUUGUCCCGGUUUAAGCGUGUAGG
rnacentral:rRNA from 1 species